UGACAUGUAGGAUGUGGGACUAACUCCCAUC
rnacentral:piRNA from 1 species